rnacentral:rRNA from 1 species
GAUGAACGCUGGCGGCGUGCUUAACACAUGCAAGUCGAACGGUAAGGCCCUUCGGGGUACACGAGUGGCGAACGGGUGAGUAACACGUGGGUGAUCUGCCCUGCACUUCGGGAUAAGCCUGGGAAACUGGGUCUAAUACCGGAUAGGACUCCGGACUGCAUGGUCUGGGGUGGAAAGCUUUUGCGGUGUGGGAUGGGCCCGCGGCCUGUCAGCUUGUUGGGGGGGUUAUGGCCUGCCAAGGCGACGACGGGUAGCCGGCCGGGGAGGGUGACCGGCCACACUGGGACUGAGAUACGGCCCAGACUCCUACGGGGGGCAGCAGUGGGGAAUAUUGCACAAUGGGCGCAAGCCUGAUGCAGCGACGCCGCGUGAGGGAUGACGGCCUUCGGGUUGUAAACCUCUUUCAGCACCGACGAAGCGCAAGUGACGGUAGGUGCAGAAGAAGGACCGGCCAACUACGUGCCAGCCGCCGCAGUAA